ensembl:lncRNA
GGAGUUCUGUAUCGCUCUGCCUGUUGUGUUUGGCCAGUGUUAUUAGGCUGUUUGACUGUGGUGUUUAAGCACAUUAUAAUUACCUUGUCCCUCAAUCUGGGCUAACAUCAUAACAUACCUGUGACCACCACCAUGGACAAUGCCCACUCAACUGGCCUCGGGGAAGGAAAGCCAAAUUAAAUUCCCACACUAAUUAAGGAGGGCACCGCGACAGAAGCUAUUCUGUCCGUCCCUGCCCAGAUGAAAGACGUCUGCACUAACGAGAUGACCAGUUCAGAUGAAACACAUGCUGACAAACCGGGUCGAUUCCAAACAGUGCCAGCCUAAAUUAGGUUGUCUGAAUCAAAUCAUAAUGUUGAAAUCGGGUGAAAAUGUCUUCGGCACAACAGUUCCAAUUGAUAUUUAUAAGAUAUUCCUGGGGAUAUUCUCCCUAUUUGGAGAUCCAUGUAUCCGUACCACUGGUUAAAGAGAGGACGGUGAGAGGAGAGGAAAGAAAACAAGCCGGCAGUAUGGCAGUAAUCACGGACUGGCUGUCAGGGCUGCUGCCCAUGAUGGCGGGUCAAGGUGUCUGGGCCUGUGGAGGAUGGCCCACACUGAAUAACCUUAUGAGCUUCCCCGAUCAUUGGGAUUGGGAGGGAAAACGGCUUUUUAUCUUUAUGAGCCUUGAAUUCCACGAGGAUCAGAGAGAGUGGAAGAGGAGAAGCAGCUGAGGUGUAAUGGACCCCUAGAGAAGAACACAAUCCCUGCUGAGAAUGAGGCAGUGAUAAAAGAAGGCACAUUUCUCGUCACUAAAGGAAGGUCAGCCAUCAGAGGGAGACAAAGCACCAUGGUAAUCCAUUCAGCUUUGCUAGAGAUCUGCUCUCAACUAGUUGGACAUUCUUGACUUUGAUGACCAUCCUGUUGAUAACCACCCUGUUAAUCUUGUUUAAUUUUCCUCAAAACUUGACCCAAUUAAAGGGCUUCGGGGACACUGUAUGGCUUUCUG